rnacentral:rRNA from 1 species
CUAAACUGAGGAAAGUCGGCCGAAACUGAUCGACUCGAGGAACGUAGAGGGAAGCGGAACCCUCGGAGUAGCGGUGAAAUGCGUAGAGACCGAGAGGUACCUCGAUGGUGAAGACAGCUUCCUGGGCGUUUCCUGACGCUGAAGCACUAAGGCCAGGGGAGCGAAGGGGAUUAGAUACCCCCGUAGUCCUGGCUCCAAACGAUGUGGGCUUGGUGUCGGCCCCCGACAGAGGGUCGUUGCCGGAGCUAACGUGUUAAGCCCACCGCCUGGGGAUUACGUCCGCAAGGAUGAAACUCAAGGGAAUUGACGGGGGCCCACACAACCGGUGGAGCACGUGGUUUAAUUCGAUGAUAAGCGAAGAACCUUACCAGGGCUUGACCUAGCGGUAGUAGGAUCCUGAAAGGGAAACGACCUCAAGCUUUGCUUGAGGAGCC